CCUACGGGUGGCAGCAGUGAGGAAUAUUGGUCAAUGGGCGCUAGCCUGAACCAGCCAAGUAGCGUGAAGGAUGACUGCCCUAUGGGUUGUAAACUUCUUUUAUAUGGGAAUAAAGUGCAGUAUGUAUACUGCUUUGUAUGUACCAUAUGAAUAAGGAUCGGCUAACUCCGUGCCAGCAGCCGCGGUAAUACGGAGGAUCCGAGCGUUAUCCGGAUUUAUUGGGUUUAAAGGGAGCGUAGGUGGAUUGUUAAGUCAGUUGUGAAAGUUUGCGGCUCAACCGUAAAAUUGCAGUUGAAACUGGCAGUCUUGAGUACAGUAGAGGUGGGCGGAAUUCGUGGUGUAGCGGUGAAAUGCAUAGAUAUCACGAAGAACCCCGAUUGCGAAGGCAGCAUACCGGCUCCACACUGACGCUGAGGCACGAAAGCGUGGGUAUCGAACAGGAUUAGAUACCCUGGUAGUC
rnacentral:rRNA from 1 species